GUGAUGCUAUUCAGCGCUGCUGGCGACGCGGUCCAGCCGUUCAGCGAAGCGGCGCGCUCAUUCGCAGCAAGUUCAGUCAUGCUGCAGCCGGUAUGCGAAGCGAGUGCUCCCAGACAGACUCGACCUGAGCAGGGUCACUGGAUCGACCAAACCGCUGCUUCCGUAGGGAGGGCUGGUCCAUGAUCAGGGGAGCAUCGCAACCUCCACAAAGGCGCGGUAGUCGCUUUCAUAACUGCCGACAUGCAUCAAGCAGCCGAGAAAUUCUGGUUGAACGUAUCCGUCUUACACGGUAGAGGUGAACGGUAUGCCGCCAUUCGCGAACCCAUGGAGUAGUGUCGAUUACCUCUACUUCAGCCAGCGCUGUAUGGGCUCCGGGACGCAGCUUCAGUUGGUUCUGAUCGCUCGUCUAAAUGUUAGCCCUAGUCCGUGGAAAAGCUCAGAAACCUCUACAGUACCUGAGAACAUGCUCGGAUUCCGAAAUAGACUAUUCUCUAGGGGUUUCCGGUAAUCAAGUCUAUCAGCGCACCAAACGCGUGUUUGGGAUAGAGGCUGUCGCUGCCGUGGAAACGUGCGCGCAUACGCAACAAAGUGUUUUGUACGCGCUGCACGGAGUGUCUAGUCCGCGUGACCGCCAGUGCCCUACUCAACCACCUGGAUACAGGGGUUGUGGUUCAUUCACGGACUGGGAUGCACCGGUGGCAGCGACAGCGUCCCAGCUGCUGCACGGUGCGAUGCAUCACACCUCGCCGCCUAAGUAGAUAUAUUGAGCCUUACAGGAUGCACACACUAGAGAAAACUACCUCAUCUAAUCUUCAAUGGCCCCCAUGGGUUUGUGCUGCGUCCUAGUUCCGGGUAUCCGAAACUCCAGUCAGCAUGGCAAGUGUGCUGCGCGUGGUGCGUUCUCGCACUCCACCGACACCCCAGCGCAAGUCGAUGCCUUCAACCGAAGACAGGGACGGGUCUCGUCGCUGUUUUCAUUUGGGACCUGCUGUGCCAUGCCCUUAUCGGGUCAAAAAGAAUCUUCAGCCCUAGGUGGCAUCACCAAAUUUGCUGAUAUUUCGAAGAAGCCCUGCAGGUAUCUCUGAAAUUGUCCACAGCGCGCCAAGUGUCGCAGAAGCACCCGAGGCGCAAGACGCUGGUCGUUGGCCUGCGCGCGGGUCUAGCGGCUUCAGAACGGGGAUCAUCAUCUUUGGCAAGCAUUUUCGAAAACUGUCCCCGGAUGCGAUGCUGUAUGCGAAUAGAGCGCUGAACCCAUCGCGCUGGUCUGUUGAACGAGCCCGCUGACCUGCAACCGAUCGUUCACGUGGCCUGUGCAUUGGAGAGCAGGUCAACGACAAGUUCCAUUAACGAGGACGACUCCCACGUGGGAAGCGCAUUAACGACUGAAGACGACUGCUCCCAGUGAGAUGCAACUUUGGGCGGCUCCGCUGGCUGCCAGGUCUCGGUCCGCAUCCAAGGAGUACAAGUUUACCACGUAUCCGGCCGGAAAAGAGUACAUCAUAGACACGAAGGAAUGCGGCUGGGAUAAAAGGUUCUGCUGCAGCAUGACGCAUGCCCUACCCUAUGCCCGAGUUCUUGUUCGGAGCUCCGUAUUCGGAUACGCGGUGUGCAUCCGCCGACGCGCUCAGGAGCGCACAGUUCGCCCCAGACCCCAUCCUCUAAACAAGCCUCCGUACGGGAAGCAGCUCUAUCUUGUUGGAACGGGCAGUACGCAGUGGCAUCUCGUAGGCCGCUGAUCUCGCUUUCCAGGUCACUGGUGGCACUCGCUCAUUCGUAGAAUCAUGAUACAAACCUUCGUUCCUCCAGCAUCACCAUAACCAUUAUCAUUACCAUCCGCGCUGGACCUGGGAGGCGCUUCGCAGCUCGGAAAAUGCCUCCCGAGCCCGCGCACUGCAUCCAGUAGGGGUGGCGUGCUCGCGAAUCACGAGGUCGCUGCGAUGCGCGGUGCAAUGAUCAUGCUAUUGAAAAAGAACAGAGACUAGCCAUUAAAUAGCACCGAGAUGACGGUUUCUUUUCCCCUCUAGGGUAAACGUUAAAAAGGGCAAGA